UACGUAGGGGGCAAGCGUUGUCCGGAUUUAUUGGGCGUAAAGAGCGUGUAGGCGGUCAGGUAGGUCCGUUGUGAAAACUCGAGGCUCAACCUCGAGACGCCGAUGGAAACCAUCUGACUAGAGUCCGGAAGAGGAGAGUGGAAUUCCUGGUGUAGCGGUGAAAUGCGCAGAUAUCAGGAGGAACACCCGUGGCGAAAGCGGUUCUCUGGGCCUGACCUGACGCUGAGGAGCGAAAGCGUGGGGAGCGAACAGG
rnacentral:rRNA from 1 species